rnacentral:lncRNA from 1 species
AGUGCUUUGUGGGUGCAGGAAGAAAAUCUGCUGAUUCUAGAGCUUUUCUUACUCUACCCUGAUUCUCCAGUCCCAGGCAUCUGAAUUAGUAGACCUAAUACAUGGGGUGAUUUCCUUGCAUUCUUGCUGGACAAGCAUCUAGCCAGGGUGGAGGAGGCCUUAGAAAAAAGGAUGUGGCAGAUACUUCUGAGCCAGGUGGCCGUGAAACUUGGACUAGAUGCAGCGAGAGCUGAUUAAUGGAUCCACAUCAGUCUGAAUGGGAAGGAAGUCUCCAGAAGUAUACCUUAGGGCCCAGUCUAGGCCUGCAUCCUGUCUGACAUGUUUAUUGACAGCUGACUGAGGCAGGAGGCUCAUCAAGUUUGCAGGUGAGAGCUAGGAGGUAGGAGGGGCAGCUAAUACUUUGCAUGAAAGAGUCAGGAUUCAAAAUGAUUUCAACAGGCUGGAACACUGGGCUGGAACCAACAAGAUUAAAUUUAACAGGGAUAAAUGUAGAGUGCUGCACUUAGGUUAAAACAAAAUCAAUGGCAUAAGUACUGGAUAGGGGGGCGGAUCCAGCGUGACAACAGUUCACAGAGAAAAGACCUGGGGGUUUUAGUUGACGGAAAGCUCAAUAUGAGUCAACUGUGUGACGUGAUUAUUAAAACCCUAACAUAGUCAUGUGUAGUAUUAACCAACACAACAACUGGACGGUGCGUGUGUCACUGAUUGCUGGGAUGGUCAAGCC